rnacentral:rRNA from 1 species
UACGGGGGGGGCAAGCGUUGUUCGGAAUUACUGGGCGUAAAGGGCUCGUAGGCGGCCAACUAAGUCGGAUGUGAAAUCCCCAGGCUUAACCUGGGAACUGCAUCCGAUACUGGAUGGCUUGAAUCCGGGAGAGGGAUGCGGAAUUCCAGGUGUAGCGGUGAAAUGCGUAGAUAUCUGGAGGAACACCGGUGGCGAAGGCGGCAUCCUGGACCGGCAUUGACGCCGAGGCGCGAAAGCUAGGGGAGCAAACGGG